rnacentral:antisense_RNA from 10 species
CGUUAUGGCAGUUGUACGCGGGAGAUCUUCGGAUCUACCGGACUCCGUCACGGUCUUGCACACCCGCGUACUGCUGCCACCCUA